CUGGAGACCGUCACUAUUUAAGGGCGCUACUGUGAGGUACUGCUUUAGUUUCUUCGAGUCGUCGUGACAAGUGAAGAGCAAGCAAAAACAAAGUUGUUUCUGGUUUUAUUUGGUGUGUUUCAGGCGCUUCUUUACAGUUAAAACAUGAAGUCAAAGCUAAUCUUGGUGUUGGCCGUUUUGCUUUUGUUAGAGGCUGUUUCUGUUCCUGCUGAACGUCCCCGCUCUAGUUAUAGACGAGGAAGUAAAAAACGGCUCAACAAAAGAGAAGAUCAACACGCCUCUACAAUCAAUCGUCAGCGCUCUGACACAGCGUUCUCGGAUGAUGACCAGAGAUUGUCGUACUGAAUGAUAAAAUGAAAGUAAAUUUGAAUAGAGCAAAAAUUAAAUAAAGAACGUUAAAGGAUA